CAUGGACACAACACCUUUAUUUCAUUUAUUUAAAUCUACGUGGUGCUGAGGAUCCAACCCAGUGCUCACACAUGCCAGGUGAGCACUCUGCCACUGAGCCACAACCCCAGCCCAAUGUAUUCUUUUUUUUUUUUUUUCAUUGUAGAUGGACACAGUACCUUUGAUUUAUUUUUACGUGGUGCUAAGGAUCGAAUCUUGUGCCUCACAAGUGCUAGGCAAGGGCUCUACUACUAAGCUACAACCCCAGCCCUCAACUGUAUUCUUUUAUUUUUUUUUCCUCUUAAUUUAAAAAAAUUUUUUUAGCUGUAGAUGGACACAAUACCUUUAUUUUAUUUGUUUAUUUUUAUGUGGUGCCAGGGAUCGAACCCAGUGCCUCACGAAUGGUAGGCAAGCAGUCUACCACUGAGCCACAGCCCCAUCCCCUAAACUAUAUUCCUUAGCAACCUUAACAUGGCAACUCUUGGUCCUGGGCAUUUCCAUAUGUAUUUCAAGAACCAAUUGGUUGAUUUACCCAAAUAAAACUGAAUUUCCCUGGAUUUUCCUUGAGUCUAUAAAUAUAGGGUGAAUUAACAAAUACCAGACAUAUAAAAAACUGCUAUAACUCAACAAUUAAAAAAUAAAUAAAUAAAUAAUGGGCAAAAGAUUCAAAUAGCCAUUUUUCCAGAUAGAAAAAUGACUGAUAAGCCUAUGAAAAGAUGAUCAAUUAUAUUAGUCAGUAGGCAAAUAUGAUAUUACUUCAUAUCUACUAGAAUGGCUAGAAUCAAAAAGACAAAUAAUAACAAGUAUGUUGAAGAUAUGAAGAAAUUAGAACCCUCAUACAUUGCUGGUAGAAUUUAAAAUGGUAUAACCACUAUAGAAAACAGUUUGGCUGUCUUCAAAAAGCUAAGCAUGGAGUUACCACAUGAGUUAACAAUUCUACUCCUAGGUAUGCAAGAGAAUUGAAAACUUGUGUUCACAUGGGAAAUUCUAUAGAGAUAGAUGAUUAAUAAUUGCUUGGGUGUGGAGGGUGUGAGAUAAGAAUUGGAAAAGAUUGCUAAUGGGUUCAGAGUUUCUUUUUUAGGUGAUUAAAAUGUUCUAAAAUUAGAUUAUAGGAAUGUUUGCACACCUGUGAAUAUUUUAAAAAUUAGUGAAUAUUUUAAAUGGGAGCAUUUUACAUUAAUUAUAUUUCAGUAAAACUUUUUUGACAGGGUAAAAAGCCUUUCCACUAAAAUUUACAUAACAUUAGUGAGAGUAACUUAAUAAAGACCUAAAAAAAUGCAGAGACAUGGGGCUGGGGUUGUGGCUCAGUGGUAGAGUGCUUGCCUCACAUGGGUGAGGCACUGGGUUCAAUCCUCAGUACCACAUAAAAAUACAUAAAUAAAAUAAAGGUAUUGUGGCCAUCUACAGCUAAAAAUAUUUAAAAAAAAAAAAAAAGAAAGUAGAAGUAAUGCAGGGACGUGCACAUUUGUAAAUUGGAAAAGUUGGUAUUUGCUAAGAUGUCCUUUAUAUUUUCAUAUGAAUUUUAGGAUCAAUUCAUCUAUCUCUGCCAGAAAGCUAGCUUGAGUUUUCAUUGGGAUGAUGUUCAAUCUGCAGAUCAAUUUUGGGAGAAUCACUAUCUUUUUUAUUUAAUAUUUUCUUAGUUGUCAGUGGACUUUAUUUAUUUUUAUGUAGUGCUGAGAAUCGAACCCAGUGCCUCACACAUGCUAGGCAAGUGCUCUACCACUGAGCCACAACUCCAACCCAUAGAAUCACUAUCCUGAGUCUGUUUUCUGUUGGUAUAAGAGAAUAACAUGAGCCCUCAUGAGUGCAAUUAGCACCCUUACCAAAGAAACCCAAGAGAAACCCUUCAUGCUUCCACUCUCUAGGACACACCAAGAAGGCAUCACCUGUGAGGAAGCAGGCCUUCAUCAGACAUGAAUCUGCCAACACCUUGAUUUUGGACCUUCCAGUCUCCAGAACUGUGAGAAAUGAAUUACUGUUGUUGAUACCCCAAAGAGUUUGUGGUAUUUUGUUACAGUAGCCCAAACAGACUAAGACAAUGUCCUUUAUUAGGUUGAGGACCUUUUUCUCCAUUCCAACUUUGUUGAGUAUUUUUAUCAUGAAGAGGAUGUUGGAUAUUGUUAAAUGUGUUUUCUGUGUCUUUGAGUUAAUCAAGUUGAUUUUCUCUUUAUUCUGUUCAUGUGGUGUGUUACAUUGAUUUUUGCAUGUUAAUCCAAAUUUGCAUUCUUGGGUCUCCACUUGUUAUUCAUCGUAUAUAGUCUGUUUUGUGUUGCUAUAAGAAAUACUAGAGGCUGGGGACUUUUUUAUAAAGAGGUUUAUCUGAGUUUGGUAAAUCUGGUGGCUGGAGUGUCUAAACAGUAUGGUGCUGGCAUCCUGGCAAGGGCCUUCUGGCUGUCUCAUACAGUGGUGGAGAAACAGCAAGAAAUGGAAGGAAGUGAUGACACUAUGAGGUAGGAAACUAGAGGGAUUCAGGGAUCAGGCUUGCUGUUUUUAAAACAAUGUAUUUUCCUCUUGGGUCCUUUGAGAACUACAUUAAUCUCUUCUGACUUUAGCACCCCCAGUGACCUAACCACCUUCCACAGGUCCUAGCUCUCCCAACUCAACACCACCACACUAGGGACCAAGCUUCCCAGCACAUGAAAAUGAGACAAACGAUGUCCAAAUCAUAACACAUAGUAUAUAAACUUUAUUUGUUGUUUGAUUCAGUUUUGUGAGGAUUUUGUGCCUCUUAUUUUUUGUGUUUUUCUUGCUAUAAGUACUUUUAUUUUAAAUUUUUACUCUUUUCCUUUCAUUUAUCAGAGAUUGAACCCAGGGGUGCUUAAACACUAAGCCACAUCCCCAGCUCUUUUUUAUGUUUUUAUUUAGAGACAGGGUCUUGCUUAAGUUGUUUAGGGUCUCAAUAAGUUGCUGAGGGCUGGCUUUGAUCUUCAAUCCUCCUGCCUCAGCCUCCCAAGAUGCUGGGGGAUUACAGGCAUGCGCCACUACACUCAGCUUAAAUUUUACUUUUUAAUUACUUGCAAUUAACACAUAGAAAUAUAAUUUAUGUUUUAUAUUUGCAUCCAGUGAUCAUGCUAAAUUUAUUCAAAUAAUUUUAGAAUUCUUUUGGUUUUUCUGCAUAUACAAACCAUGUCAUCUGCAAAUAUUUCUAUACAUCAUCUUUUUCAACCUCUACAUUUUUCCUUUCUCCUAUCUUACUGCACUGGUUUGGGCCUCCAGUAUAAUCUCGAAUAUAAGUAGUUAUAGAAGAUACCCUUGUUUCAUUCCCUUGAGUAACCCAUCAAGUAUGUUACCUGAAGGUUAUUUUAAAAUGCUCUUUAUUAGGUUGAGUCAAUUUCCUUCUACACUACUUUUAUUGAGAGUUUUUAUGAUGAUAAAUACUGGAUUUUUCAAAUGUACUGCUGUCAAGUAUGACAUGAUCAUACUUUCCUCCUUUAUUUUGUUAAAGUGGUAAAUUACAUUGGUUUUUGAAUGUUAAACAAUUUUACAUUCCUGGAGUAAACUCCACUUGGUCAGCACUUAUUUUAUUACUUGCUGAAUUUGGUUAGCUCUAUUGUUUAAGAUUUUACAUCUAUGAGAGAGAUUAGCCUGAAAUGUCCAAGGUUAGUUUAAAGACAUUUUUGGCAUCAUAAAGUUGGUUUUUCUGUUUGUAAAAAUUUGUAUUUGGUAUUUUUAAUUCCCUCAAACAUUUGGAAGAAUUAAUGAAUGAAAAUACGUAGGCCUGCUUGAAUCAUAGAGGUUAAUUUUUUUAAAGUAAUUUUUUUGUAGUAAAGUGAUAUGCUGUGUAUGUGUGUUGCUAGAGAUCAAACCUAAGGAUCUUGCACGUGCUGGGUAAGUGCUCUGCCACUGGGCCUCAUCUCCAGCCCUGGUCGUCUGUUUUUAUGCCUAUCUUACUUUCCUGCAGUCACAUUCUUUAUGUGUGUGUUGGAGGGGAAGGGACAGGCAGCCUAGGGAUUUAACCCAGAGGCACUUUACCACUGAGCUACAUCCUCAGCACUUUUUAUUUUUUCAUUUGAGACAGGGUGUCACUAUGUUGUUUAUGACCUGAGUUACUGAAGCUGGCCUUGAACUUGUCACCCUCCUGUCUCAGCCUCCCAAGCUGUGGGGAUUACACAUGUGUGCCACUCUGCUAGCUCGCAAUCACCUUCUGCCCGGAGAGGUGAAAAAUGAACUCACCUUUCUAUGCCUCCUUAAUAACAAAGUUGAACUAAGUAACAUUGUCACUGAUCAUCCUUCCAGGAGUUGUUUUAAACCUUGCUUCUAUCCAGUGAUCUCUACCCUCAGUUUAAGUAAUAUGGAUUUAAAAAUAAUACUAAAGUUUGUUCUCAUUCAUACAUAUAAGUAAAUAAAUUUUCAAUUAAUUUCCUACAAGAGAUUAAAGAGACAUAUCUUAGUCCAUUUAUGCCCUUUUAACAGAAUACCACGGACUGGAUAAUUUGUCAAGAAUAGAAACUUACUGGCUAACUGUUCAAGAGUCCAGGAAGUCCAAUAUCAAGACGCUGGCAGGUUUGGUAAUUCUGAUUCCAAGAUAGAGCCUGUAUUAUGUACUGAGAUGGCCUCAGAUAAAAGAGACAAAAAAGGCGGGGGGCUAAAUUCACUCUUUUAUGAAAGCAUUAAUCCUGGGGCAUUAAUCCCUGUGAGGGCAGAGCCUUCAAGGCCUAAUCAUCUCUCAAAUGUCUGAUUUAUUAAUACUGUUAAAAUGGCAAUUAAAUUUGAAUUUGAGUUUUAGUGGGGACAGACAUUCAAAUGGUAGCAAGAAAGAAGGCCUGGCAGAAGUUAAAAUGAUUUUCUAGAACUAGUUUAUUUGAAUCUCUGCAGAAUUUUGUGGUAGGAAGAUAGAGUUAUGAUGGAAAUGGGUCUUUCCCCAAUAUAAUUAUUGCUCACUUUCCAGACAGAGCACAGCCCACUAUUUCCUCUACAACCUGUAGCCCAAUAUCAGAGCCACCAAUGCCCUCUGCUUCCAUCUAAAAACUGCAACAAUAUUGGCUCAGAGAGAAAAGCACACUAUUUUUAGAGUGGAAAUCUGAAUCCCUUCAGCUGCAGGGCAGAGCAGAAGGCUAGCUGUGGCACAAAGCCAGGAAACUAGACUGACUGGUCUGUCCCAGAGGAAGCUUACAUCACAUUCAUUUAGAAGUUGCUUUGCUUUGCUUUUCCAACCUGAACUGUCCCCAUGGUUUCAUUUUCAUUUUUUCCAGCUAUGUUCAUAUACCAUGAAAUUACUGUGAAAUUUAUAUGUGAC
rnacentral:lncRNA from 1 species